GUACCUUUUGUUCCUCCCAGGUCCGAAGAGAUUUUAUUUCAUUACGAGAAUAAAGCAACAGAAGGGAAAGUACUUAUUGACUCUGUCUUUGAUUUCUAUGGAAGUAAAAGUGAGAGGAAGUAAACUGUAAUUUAUUAGAUGGAAUUAAACACUGUACCUGUGGAAGGAAACAGAGUUAGCAGUUCUGGAUCUUUAAAGUGCAAGGUGGUCAUACAUUGAACUGUUUUGCCUUUGACCCCGAAGACAGCUCACCCUCAACCCUUGCCCUGAAUUGACCUCCCUCACUUUGGUUCAAGACCUGGAGUGAUGUGUUCCCACCCCAGAACACUUUU
rnacentral:lncRNA from 1 species